AACGAACGCUGGCGGCAGGCUUAACACAUGCAAGUCGAGCGAAGACUUCGGUCUUAGCGGCGGACGGGUGAGUAACACGUGGGUGAUCUGCCCUGCACUUUGGGAUAAGCCUGGGAAACUGGGUCUAAUACCGAAUAUGACCACGCACUUCACGGUGUGUGGUGGAAAGCUUUUGCGGUGUGGGAUGGGCCCGCGGCCUAUCAGCUUGUUGGUGGGGUAAUGGCCUACCAAGGCGACGACGGGUAGCCGGCCUGAGAGGGUGACCGGCCACACUGGGACUGAGAUACGGCCCAGACUCCUACGGGAGGCAGCAGUGGGGAAUAUUGCACAAUGGGCGCAAGCCUGAUGCAGCGACGCCGCGUGAGGGAUGACGGCCUUCGGGUUGUAAACCUCUUUCAGUAGGGACGAAGCGCAAGUGACGGUACCUAUAGAAGAAGGACCGGCCAACUACGUGCCAGCAGCCGCCGUAAAAC
rnacentral:rRNA from 1 species